rnacentral:tRNA from 1 species
UAAGCGAAAGCCAAAGGCACCUAUUUGUUAAUUAGACUAUGCUAAAAUUAGCUCCUUAU